CUCCCUCCAGGGAGCAACGUCCCUUCAUAAGGAUUCUUUUUCCCAGCAAGCAAAGAUGACCUGGAAAUUUGAUAGUGCGAGAGUUACAAACUAUACUUUCUCAAGGGAGAAAUAUUACCUUAUAGAAACCAGCUUUUAUCCUGCUGAGAACCUGUACUGUGCUGCGGGGAUUGUCUCUUAUUACAGCUGUGAGAGCCGGGGGAAGCACGUACAGCUCUCUUCCGCACACCGAAAAGACUGCUGGAAUCGCGGAUGACCCUGAAAAGAAACUGCGGUGUCACUUACGGGGGGGAGGUGGGGAAAGACAAAAAUGCCAACGUAAGCCGGUACAUUCCGCGUGCAGAUUGAGCCUGAAUACUCUUAGGCACACCAGGAGGAAACUUCUCAAGGUUUCGAAACUUCUAAGUAACCUCUACACCCAAGGUGGGGCUAGAACUCAUGACUCUGAGAUCAAGAGUCACAUGUUCUACCAGCUGCCAGGCACCCUGCGCUCUGAAGUCUUUAAAAUCAAAUUUCAGACAGAAUGUCACAAAUACUUCACUAUUCACAUCUAAUAGGGAGGAUCUUGAGAGAUUGGAGUUUGGCAAAACACAUUUUGGGAAAUAUUGGCCAAGAUAUUUGUAUUUUAGUUAACAACUUGGAAGAAGAGAACAACUUCAGGAGUGAUUCUAAUAGUGUUUCAGAGACCCACAAAAUAAAAAAAAAAGGGGGGGAAGAGUAAAUAUGAGGGCUUCCGGUUGCCUCUAAAUCACACUGUGUACCUUCUCAAUAGUUCUUCUUGCUUAUAAGACAGGUGGGCUUUUUGAACUUUGCUUUUCUGUUAUUAAAGAAACAAGACACAACAGUGGUCUUCUAAGGAUGAGUUAAGUUGUAUGGUAGAACACAUUUAAAAGGUUUGAAAGUGAAAAAUGGUUAGUCACAGUCAUAAAGUUCAACCAAGUUGCUGAGUCCUUACUGUGUCAAACACUGCGUUCUGCUGGGCUACCAAUAGAGGCAAAUGAAGAUACCCAGCCUGUUCUCCAGCACAGGAAGAUAUGCCGUUCCCAAGGCACUUUUGU